rnacentral:rRNA from 1 species
UCCUACGGGGGGCUGCAGUGGGGAAUAUUGGGCAAUGGGCGCAAGCCUGACCCAGCAACGCCGCGUGAAGGAAGAAGGCUUUCGGGUUGUAAACUUCUUUUGUCAGGGACGAAACAAAUGACGGUACCUGACGAAUAAGCCACGGCUAACUACGUGCCAGCAGCCGCGGUAAUACGUAGGUGGCAAGCGUUAUCCGGAUUUACUGGGUGUAAAGGGCGUGUAGGCGGGACUGCAAGUCAGAUGUGAAAAUUAUGGGCUCAACCCAUAACCUGCAUUUGAAACUGUGGUUCUUGAGUGAUGGAGAGGCAGGCGGAAUUCCGUGUGUAGCGGUGAAAUGCGUAGAUAUACGGAGGAACACCAGUGGCGAAGGCGGCCUGCUGGACAUUAACUGACGCUGAGGCGCGAAAGCGUGGGGAGCAAACAGGAUUAGAUACCCGGGUAGUC